rnacentral:rRNA from 1 species
CCUACGGGAGGCAGCAGUGAGGAAUAUUGGUCAAUGGACGAGAGUCUGAACCAGCCAAGUAGCGUGAAGGAUGACUCCCCUAUGGGUUGUAAACUUCUUUUAUAUGGGAAUAAAAUGUUCCACGUGUGGGAUUUUGUAUGUACCAUAUGAAUAAGGAUCGGCUAACUCCGUGCCAGCAGCCGCGGUAAUACGGAGGAUCCGAGCGUUAUCCGGAUUUAUUGGGUUUAAAGGGAGCAUAGGUGGAUUGUUAAGUCAGUUGUGAAAGUUUGCGGCUCAACCGUAAAAUUGCAGUUGAAACUGGCAGUCGUGAGUACAGUAGAGGUGGGCGGAAUUCGUGGUGUAGCGGUGAAAUGCUUAGAUAUCACGAAGAACUCCGAUUGCGAAGGCAGCUCACUGGACUGCAACUGACACUGAGGCUCGAAAGUGUGGGUAUCAAACAGGAUUAGAUACCCCGGUAGUC